rnacentral:sRNA from 1 species
ACCAGGCGUGGUGGCACACACCCAUAGCCCCAACUACUUGGGGGUUGAGGCAGGAGGUUGCUUGAGCCCAGGAGUUUUAAGACUAGCCUGGGCAACAUAACAAGAAACCAUU